UACGGAGGAUGCGAGCGUUAUCCGGAUUUAUUGGGUUUAAAGGGUGCGCAGGCGGAGGUGCAAGUCAGCGGUCAAAUUGCGGGGCUCAACCCCGUACUGCCGUUGAAACUGCAUCCCUUGAGUGCGCGAGAAGUAUGCGGAAUGCGUGGUGUAGCGGUGAAAUGCAUAGAUAUCACGCAGAACUCCGAUUGCGAAGGCAGCAUACCGGCGCGCAACUGACGCUCAUGCACGAAAGCGUGGGUGUCGAACAGG
rnacentral:rRNA from 1 species